CUACGGGUCGCACCAGUGGGGAAUAUUGCACAAUGGGCGCAAGCCUGAUGCAGCCAUGCCGCGUGUAUGAAGAAGGCCUUCGGGUUGUAAAGUACUUUCAGCGGGGAGGAAGGGAGUAAAGUUAAUACCUUUGCUCAUUGACGUUACCCGCAGAAGAAGCACCGGCUAACUCCGUGCCAGCAGCCGCGGUAAUACGGAGGGUGCAAGCGUUAAUCGGAAUUACUGGGCGUAAAGCGCACGCAGGCGGUUUGUGUAGUCAGAUGUGAAAUCCCCGGGCUCAACCUGGGAACUGCAUCUGAUACUGGCAAGCUUGAGUCUCGUAGAGGGGGGUAGAAUUCCAGGUGUAGCGGUGAAAUGCGUAGAGAUCUGGAGGAAUACCGGUGGCGAAGGCGGCCCCCUGGACGAAGACUGACGCUCAGGUGCGAAAGCGUGGGGAGCAAACAGGAUUAGAUACCCUUGUAGUC
rnacentral:rRNA from 1 species